UACGGAGGAUCCAAGCGUUAUCCGGAAUUACUGGGCGUAAAGAGUUGCGUAGGCGGCAUUGUAAGUAGGUAGUGAAACUCCUGGGGCUCAACCCUUUAAACAUUAUCUAAACUGCAAAGCUAGAAUAUAGAAGAGGUAGCUGGAAUUCCUUGUGUAGGAGUGAAAUCCGUAGAUAUAAGGAGGAACACCGAUGGCGUAGGCAGGCUACUGGUCUAUUAUUGACGCUAAGGCACGGAAAGCGUGGGGAGCAAACGGG
rnacentral:rRNA from 1 species